CCCCACCUCCUAACAUUAUUACCUUGAAGGUUAGGAUUUCAACAUAAGGAUUUGAGGACAAUAUAAACAUUCAGUCUACAACAAACUCUCUCCAUAUGCAGUUCCUAUCAUAGCAGCUUGUUUUUUUCAGGGUCAUCGGAAGAGUUUCUCUAGUGUAAGAUAAUAAAACAGAACUAUAUAUGCAAGUAGAUAGAUAGAUAGAUAGAUAGAUAACCUAAUUAUAGGAAUAGCAUCCUAUUACCUGUGCCAUAUUCUGCUGGUUAGAAACAAGUCAGAGGUCCUACCCACAUUCAAAGGAGAGGGAUUACAUAGGGCAUGACCAUAGAGCUACCCUAAGGUCUAUCUGCCAUCUGCCACACUUGUGAAAAUCAUUUUCCACAAGCUCAUACUACAGAGAGCAUUCCUACAUGUCCAAGGAGUCUUUUCCUGGCAAGCAUCAUCCCAUUCAAAGGCCAAAUCAGUCCCACAAAAAUACUUAUUUCUGUUUCUGACCACUUCCCCAAAACAAAAUUAGAAAGAGUCUAGCGGUCAGUAGAAUGUAGCUAUUCGUCAAUCCAUAAUAUUACCAAACAAUGGCAUGAACCUAGGUGAUGACUUUCCAAAUCACUGCUGCUUGAUGAUAUUCUGAGAUAGCCUCAGAAUGACUCCCUAAUGUUUCCUUUCUCUGAUAUAAAUGGUUUAUUAUGUGAAGAGAGCUGUAAACAUGAGGUAGAAUGGCCUUAUGAGAAAGUUUAUGUCUCUAUGCAGUUCCAGGAUGGUAAAGGCUAGAACCCAGUGGUGUGCUUGAACAGUUAUUAAAGAAUAUCCAUGCCUCUGUUUAAGUGCUGAUGCAGACUUCCUUAAUAUAUGUUACUCUCAAGAAAAACAGCAAUGUCUCUCUUAUCCAACUCACAGAAACUAUCAAGUUGAUGGACUGUGCAAGAAUAAAGCUGGCUAAAGCAGAGAUUUUUUAAAUGAUGCACAUAUUCUUUAAAUAUUUUAAUCUAAAAAUAAAUAAAUUUAUAUCUUUUCCUAUUACUUUUUUUAACUUUAUGAUCAUUUAAAUUUAUUUCUAUCCUAAUAUUAUAUGAUAUUUUCUUUUUUUAAUUUAUUUUUUAUUGUUAUUUCCCCCAACACAUAAUUUCCUAUUAUUUUGAUGUAAGACCAAGACAACUUUUACUGUGUAUAAGUCUACCGAUUGGAUUUUCCUGUCAUCUCUCAUCAAUAUAUUCAUCUAUAAUGCAUCACCUAUGAUUUCUAGUUUAGUUUUCUUUAAAGCAGAGUAAAAAUACAAAAACACUAACAAAGUGUUUAACAAAGAACAGAUUUAAAGUAAAUAUUUUAGAUUUCACUAUUUAUUUUAUAUAUGCUUUAUUCAUAUCCAUGUGGAUAGUAAUUUUUUUGUAACUCACUUCUACUGAGUCUUUCAAAGCAUUUGAUGUAGUUUUCAAAGAAAUCAUCUCCUUUACAUUUUAUACUCAUAUUUUAUUAGUGCAAUGCAAUUAGUUUUCAAAACCACCAAACCAGUUCACCAAAACCAGUUUAAACAACAUUAACGGGUUUAGGACCAAGCUUAACUAAUUUUGGGAAGGGUUCUAUGUGAGCAGGUGGACUAGAGUAGUAUACUAGCCAUAGAACUCAGAGUGCUUCGGGCAACAGUUGGCAUGACUUAAGAUGGAAUAAAGAAUGUCAGUUAAUCCAGAAAAUUGGUUAAGAAAAAGUCAUUUAGAAGAGCUUCUGUUAUUGAUCGUCAAAAAUGUAAUCAAUUUACACAUUCAACAACAUUAGUUGAAUGCCUACCACAUCCUAAAUUAUGGUGGUAUGUGCUAGAUACUCCACAAAGAAGAAAAAAAUGUGAUCAUCGCCCUUGAAGAUUCUAAUACAAUUACUUUGUGAGGUGCUAUUACACUUAAGUAACAUCUGUAGCAUGAAGUGUUGCUAUCUUCUUUAACCUUAAAAAACUUUGGAUAUUAGCCUGGAUUCUGACAGGUAUUGAAGAAUGGUGAGAAAUUCACCGAGGUCCUAAGGUUAUUGCUUGAUGAUUUAUGACUCAUCAGUACUUAGAUGAAAGUGCCCUGUCAAAUUCAUUUUUUAACACCAACAAAUAUGAGGUUGAAUUGUAAAAUAGGUUCCAUUUACUCCAAUUUCUUUUAUGUAGUUAUGCUCAAGGAUGCAUGAAGGGGCCUGUGUUAUAUGAGAAAUUUUGCCAAAGAGUAGCAGAGAUGGAAAUUUACUCUAGAAAAAAAACCACAAGGGAAUAUUUAACUCUCCUCUCCUGCGCCCCAUAUAUAAAGUCACCAAGUCAUGUCAUUCAAAAUUGUCCAUUUCUCUCAACUUUACUAUGUUGCCAGAUUAAUAUAUUCCUCCUAAUCUCCUGAAAAAUUCUCUACUUCUUUCCUGACACCAAUAUUCCACCUCCAUUCCAUAUCCAUAGUGCUUCCAAAAUUCACAAAUCUGCUUGUAGGACUCUCACUUUUUAGAGCCCACUACAGAUCUCCACAAUCCAAAGAACAGUGCCUAAGCUCCUUCAAAUGGAACAAAACAGGACCCAAACAAUCUAGAUAUACCAUAUAUUAACAGUAUCAUCUACGAUUGUUUCUAUUCAGAUAGUCUAGGACCAGCAUCAUAAAUCCAUCUUCAUACCUUCUCCAAAUACCCAAACAUUAUUGUGUAAGUUAGUAUCAUUGCAGUUCUGUGUUUCUGAAAUACACUUUUUCCUUAAAAUCUUGGCAAACUCCCACUCAUCCUUCAAGAUCAACCCUUAAAAUCCUUACCCAAAUCUUCCAUGCAGAGUUUGUCCACAAUAUAUCUCAUAGCUCUCUUUUAUUGUGCAAAUUUUAUUGCAAUGUAUUUACUGAAUCCCAAACACCGAGUUGGGUCUAUGGAGACAAUGGUAAACAAGACCAUGAUAGCAUACUCUUAUUUUUUUAUUCAUUUACUUGUUGCCCUUAUUAUGCUGUGAACUCCUAGAGAGUGGACACCAUAUCUUAUUCAUUUCUCUCACUCCCAACUAUCUGAUGCAGUGCACUCAGGCUUCCAGGCAUGAACUUAAGUUGGCUGAAUGAACGACUGAACAUCAAUGCCAUUAAAUAUAACAAUAACAAUAAAGUAGCUUCAGAAAUUUUGUCAGAAAGUUUCCCAUACACUAUCAUCAGGGUUUUAGGAAAUAAAUGGGGCAGCAUUCUAAGUUGAAUAGCCUUCUCACUACCCUGGACUUUUUGUUUUGAUAUAAUUUUUUCUAUUCUUACUGAAUUAAAAUGAUAUGGCUUUAUUAAUUUAAAAAUCUACAUGAAUAAAUAUGUCUUCAUGCUUAUUCCCACAACCCAUUGAAGAUUAGAAACUAUAGUAACCAGUGCACCAUGUGGUACUGUAUACACAUAGUAAACAAUCAGGUUGACAUGGAUUUCCAGUGAACUGCAUAUUUCUUUUUUAGUAAGCACUUUUAUGAGUCACAUUUACCCCUUCUAAAUCUCCUAUUUGAGUUGGGGUAAAGAUAGAUUAGUUCUAUCUCCUAAUAUAAAAAUGUGAAAUUUUUCAUAUAAAUUUAAAUUCAAGAGCACACUUAACUUUUUUACUUUUAUGCCAUGUACCACUUUUACAAUAUUUGGUAUACUAAUGGUACACUUGAUAUGUGGUCACAAUUUCUUCAUUUUCCCUUUUAGUCAAUUGAGGUUUACAUCAAAGCUUUUAGAGAUAAUUGAAGAUCAGAACUUUGUUUACUCAAUUUCUUGAAAAUCUAAUUUACCUAAUUGUUAUCUGGCAAACCUUUAAUGAUAGGUGUUAAUUUAAUUGUAUGUACUAAUACCUUGCCAUGAGUGCAGCCAGCAGUUUUAAGACAAUUCUUUCUCUUUCAAAAGAGUAGAAAUUAAAAUCUGUAAAGAGCCAAUAAUCAUAAAUUAAUCCAUUAUAAAAUGAAUUUUCUGUUAUUUCUGAAUAAUUUAGCAGAAAACUGCAGUGAAACACUAGCUAUGAACACUAAGAUAUUUUAUUAACUUGGGAAUAUUCCAUUCCCAAGACCAACUUGGCUAAAAAUGUACAAAUCUUAGGAUGUAUUUCUUAAGAAUUUGCUGUGUGUUUGGUUAUUCAGUUAAAUUCCUAAAGAUAUUGGGACACUUUGAUCAUGAGAGUUUGCUAUGGCUAUUAAUUUUCCAGCACUACAUUCAAACAGUUGAAUCAGUGUCAUGUGAACACUUUGAGAAUCAGGAUUAUAAGAUCUAGGAUUCUGUUGAAGACAAAUGUAAGUAAUUUGGGAACCUAAAUAGCAUAUCAUAACAGCUACUUGGCAACAAGGGAUAGAUAGGGUAAUCUUUCUAAAAACUACUUUUACACUCAUAUUAAUAGUGCAGUUAUCUAAAAAUUGAAAUGCAUAAAAUUAUCCUCGUUAAAAAUCAAGAACUGGUGAAUUGAUGGUAGCAACUGAAAGGAACAAUGGUAAAAAUAAGCCCUAGAUUAUUCCCAUAGCAUAAUGCAUAUGGUAGAGGAGCAUGGAGAAUGUACAUAUAAAGGAAGGAUUGAGAGAAGUUGAGAGUUUCCACGGCAGACUGAUUAUUUUGUUGCAUUUAACAUCUAUCCCAAUCUGCCCCUUGGUAGAAAUGCAAAUAUCUGUAGCAUAGGUUUUUUUAAAUGACCAAAAGAAGGCAGUACAAAUAAAAGAGAAAGCUGCUAUUGACUUUUGAGCAGAAUAUUGACAGAAAAAACAAAGCUGAUUUAAAAUAGUUACAUUCUUUGCACUGUUUUAGCUUAGAAGUCUUACACAUCAAAUUAGUGACAAGUUACUGGAAGGAUGUGCUAGGUGAUUACUGAUAAUCAUGAAGUUGAUAAUCAUGAUUAUCUGAAAUAUGUCUUCAAAAUCUUUUUAAAUCAGAGACAUUCAUACAUGGCUCUUCAAAUCUCCACCCCUGCUUCUGCAUAUAAAGGGACAAAGAAGGAAACAAGAAGAAGCAGAAACCCUUGAGGCUAUGGGGUUCCUGUUGUGGCUCAGCUGUAAUGAACCCUACUACUAUCCAUGAGGACAGGGGUUCGAUCCCUGGCCUCACUCCGUGAGUUAAAGGAUCUGCCGUUGCCCUGAGCUGUGGCCUAAGUCGCAGACACGGCUCAGAUCCUGCGUUGCUGUGGUUGUAGUAUAGGCCAGCAGCUACAGCUUGGAUUCAACCCCUAGCCUGG
rnacentral:lncRNA from 1 species